UGGAAAUGUGUCAGUGGGGAU
rnacentral:piRNA from 1 species